rnacentral:rRNA from 1 species
GUAUAGAACCUACCUUUUACUGGAGAAUAGCCCAGAGAAAUUUGGAUUAAUGCUCCAUAGUAUCAUUUUUUGGCAUCCUUAGAUGAUUAAAGAUUUAUCGGUAAAAGAUGGCUAUGCGUUCUAUUAGCUAGUUGGUAUGGUAACGGCAUACCAAGGCGACGAUAGAUAGGGGUCCUGAGAGGGUGAUCCCCCACACUGGUACUGAGACACGGACCAGACUCCUACGGGAGGCAGCAGUGAGGAAUAUUGGACAAUGGAGGCAACUCUGAUCCAGCCAUGCCGCGUGUAGGAAGACUGCCCUAUGGGUUGUAAACUACUUUUAUAGAGGAAGAAACCGCUCUACGUGUAGAGCUCUGACGGUACUCUACGAAUAAGGAUCGGCUAACUCCGUGCCAGCAGCCGCGGUAAUACGGAGGAUCCAAGCGUUAUCCGGAAUCAUUGGGUUUAAAGGGUCCGUAGCGGGUUUGUAAGUCAGUGGUGAAAGUUUUCGGCUCAACCGGAAAAUUGCCAUUGAUACUGCAAGUCUUGAAUCGUUGUGAAGUGGUUAGAAUGUGUAGUGUAGCGGUGAAAUGCAUAGAUAUUACACAGAAUACCGAUUGCGAAGCAGAUCACUAACAAUGUAUUGACGCUAAGGGACGAAAGCGUGGGUAGCGAACAGGAUUAGAUACCCUGGUAGUCCACGCCGUAAACGAUGGUUACUAGCUGUUCGGAUUUCGGUCUGAGUGGCUAAGCGAAAGUGAUAAGUAACCCACCUGGGGAGUACGUUCGCAAGAAUGAAACUCA